rnacentral:siRNA from 1 species
GCACCCGCGAGGGAUCCCGCCAA